UGGGAAGUGAGUCUCUGCUUUCUGGU
rnacentral:piRNA from 1 species